rfam:Nomascus leucogenys chromosome 9, whole genome shotgun sequence.
UGGUGUAAUAGGUAGCGCAGAGAAUUUUGGAUUCUCAGGGGUAGGUUCAAUUCCUAU